rnacentral:tRNA from 1 species
GGUCGGGAUAGCUCAGCCGGUGA